GAUGAACGCUGGCGGCGUGCCUAAUACAUGCAAGUCGAGCGAACAGACGAGGAGCUUGCUCCUCUGACGUUAGCGGCGGACGGGUGAGUAACACGUGGAUAACCUACCUACAAGACUGGGAUAACUUCGGGAAACCGGAGCUAAUACCGGAUAAUAUAUUGAACCGCAUGGUUCAAUAGUGAAAGACGGUUUUGCUGUCUCUUAUAGAUGGAUCCGCGCCGCAUUAGCUAGUUGGUAAGGUAACGGCUUACCAAGGCAACGAUGCGUAGCCGACCUGAGAGGGUGAUAGGCCACACUGGAACUGAGACACGGUCCAGACUCCUACGGGAGGCAGCAGUAGGGAAUCUUCCGCAAUGGGCGAAAGCUUGACGGAGCAACGCCGCGUGAGUGAUGAAGGUCUUCGGAUCGUAAAACUCUGUUAUUAGGGAAGAACAAAUGUGUAAGUAACUAUGCACGUCUUGACGGUACCUAAUCAGAAAGCCACGGCUAACUACGUG
rnacentral:rRNA from 1 species